ensembl:lncRNA
AACCGGCUCAGCCUCCUUCUAUCACUAUACUGACGGGGGGGCUUCCUUUGCUGCAGGCGUCGCCGGGCUCCGGCUCUAAAAAGCGACUGUCUCCUCCUCGCAAACGCUGCGCAGUUUUGGUUUCCUUGGGAAGUGACGUAAGAAGACGGCGGGACUGCUAACCGCAGGAAAAAGCUCAAAUUUUUGGAGUGCUCCUCAUGCUGUGUGAGAACUGGGACUUUGCUUUGAGGGCUUGUCUUAUGGUUACCACACUCUUGGAAACCCUCAUCUAAGGAAAAUAUCAACUAAUUAUAGAGGGAGUUUUCUAUUUGUUUUGUUAAAUUUGCUACAUUUGGUCACUGUAUGAGGCACGUGUUCUUGGCAGAAGGAAUCAUUUGAUUAUUCAAAAUAAUUGAUCACUAUUGUGUGACUCAGCAAAGAACAGACAAACAUAAGGAAGAAAUUGGCAGUUGUGUCCUUUGUGAACAACAAAGAUGGGAGAAUGAGGAAAUGUCAAAUUUGGCAGGCAUCUGCAGUAGUUCGAAAUUUAUGGUGCUAAACCAAUAGUGGUAGUUGAGAUUGUGAUCGAGCUGGUGAUGUGAGCUGUGAUUGUUGCUAGGAUCACAACUCUACCUCCUGCCUCUUGAUUCUGUUAAGUGGAAAAAAGUAUUUGUUGUAAGAAAGCAUUCAUUAUCUUAGGCAGUUCUGUUACGUUAGAGAAGGCUGCAGUAUCUUAAUGGCAUGCACCUAUUCCAGGAGUUGGUAGUGCUUAUCUUACGGGGCUAGCUCUGCUGCGACGUGAGCUUUCCUCCUGCUUCCAGGAUGUUGUGGGUUUAAGCUAGCAAAGGAAAAGCAGAAAAGCUGAUUUUUCCAGAAUACCCACGGUGCAUCUCAGUGGCGAUAGCUUCUUAUUAGGGCCGGUAGGAAGUAUUAUAUACCACAGACCUCCUCUAAUGGUUUGUAACCAACCUAGUUUAUAUAUAUGCAUGUAAGACUCUCCUCAGUCCUUCAUGCUGGGUAAAAAUCACACUGGUUUAAAAAAAAGAUUUAAGAAUUCCAGGUCCAGGUGAGGCUGUGACUUCUGCUGUCUUUUCCAGCACUUGUGCAGAUGGAUUGGCAGUAGGAGAGUUACUGCAGGUGAGGGCUGUGGGCAGUAUCAUUACCAUAAUUUGGUUGGUGAGUGACCCUAGAAACUGUGAGGCAGCCUAGCAUCAGAGAAACCUGAGACAGCUUUAAGCCAGUUGGGCCUUCUGAAAGCUCUGUGUGUGUCUGCAUAGGGAUACAGUGUAUGUACAGUGUCCCUGAAGUGCUGUAUAAUUUGAACUGAAGUUAUUCCUUUUUUUUUGCAAUGUGUAGUUUUGCAGUACAAAGUCCUGUAUAAAUGUCUGCAUGAAGGUGGUUAGCUAGUGCUGAGGCAGCUGUUCUUUGCUUCCAGUUGCUGACAUUGGUACAGAUGAAGACAUAGGAAGGGGAGGUUAUUUUUCUCCUAUUCUGAACCUGGCCAGUGGUUUCUUCUAUUUGGGAAGCUAUGUUUUAUCUAAAGAACAUUCUGCUGAACCAGGCUGCAGCACUAACAAUGUUUGUGCAAUUAAGUACUUCAAAUUUGAUUAAAAUAGGC